rnacentral:lncRNA from 1 species
UAAAAAAAGUGGUAACUUGUCUUACAUUUUUUUCUUAAAUGGUAACUUGUGUGAAGGUAAUAUCUUUUAUCAAAAGGAAAUCGUGAAAUUUAACGAAUUGACAGUAAAACUUACUUAACAACCUUUCGAUCUAUGCAAUUAACCUGAACUAGUCUCGUGUUUACUUAUGACAAUAUUCAAAAUAUUAAAGAAUCGAAAAAGA